UGGGUUUACCAAGACGUGUGUAAGCAGCUCAAAUAGCAUGUCCCAGACUGCAUCUACCAUGUCCUCUGGCACCUAGAUACCAUACCUGCUCUUCCUGGAUCCCUGAAUCUCAGGUUGAUAGCAACGUCAAGAGCUAAGGCAUUGGUUUCUAUGGUUUGAAUGUUUGUGUCCCUUUCAGAGUUCAUGCUGAAGCUUAAUCCCCAG